CCGCACCCGGCCUAAUUUUUGUAUUUUUAGUAGAGACGGGGUUUCACCAUGUUGGCCAGGAUGGUCUCAAUCUCUUGACUUUGUGAUCUGCCCGCCUCAGCCUCCCAAAGUGCUGGGAUUACAGGCAUGAGCCACCGCUCCCGGCCUUCUCCAGCCCCUUCCAAGGAGGCCAGGAAUUCUGUUUGGCCUGGCGCUCUGUGGAAGCUGGCUGGCCCAGGGAUGGGAGGGCAGAUUGCACUUGGGGAGACAGCUGGGGGGGGAGGAUGUUAGGAAGAGUCUCUGCAAGCCCCUCCAUGCCACCCUCCUUGGGUAGGGGUCAGCUGCUGAGAGGUGGCUCUCAGCCCUGUUUUAGAAUUGGGCUGGGGUCGGCUGCUGAGAGGAGGAAGAUGGGCCAAUGUUUUUGGGUCAUUUCCACCAAGUUCCGGGCCCCAGAAUGAAUUUCAGAGGCAGCAGGGAGAGGCGGGUGGGAUGGCCACAGGGGAGGGAGGGGAUACAGAGAGAUGCAAGCAUGGGGACCCCUCCUGGUGCCCAGGCCCAGCUAGAAGGGCCUCAUCUAUCACCCAAUACCAUGGCCUGGCAUUGGCGUGCAGGAAACACAGGAAGUGAGAAUAAAAUUCCUUAUUUUAUUUCAAAAAAUGUAGGGGUGGGGAAGUAACAUGAUAAACAUUACGAUCAGCUCCCUAUGGGUUCAUUCUGCCUCUCUGGGGGGACUAGGCGCCCUCCCCGAAAGCCCCCAUUCUGAGUUGUUGGUGCCUGCC
rnacentral:lncRNA from 1 species